UAGGCCCAGGGAGAACUCCAAUGGUGUCUGUGUCAGCAUGCCCACACCAGGCCACAACAAUGGCCGCCGCCAAUGUCCCAGUCCCUGGAGAGGUGUCACCUCUCACCAAGAUGCACGCAGGGCCUAUUAGGUAAUAAAGGGCAGACAGAUAUUCAGCCACAUCAAAGGAGAGAUGUGAAGCCUACAUCAUGACCCAGGAACAGAACGAUGCCAUCCAGCCUUAUACUCCUGAGAAUGGUUAUUGAAUGAUUGUUUGGAAUUUCUGUUCUUGGCAACACUAUGAUGCCUCGGCAGAUUUGAGUGCAAAGUUUGCAAGUUCCAUUUCAAUCCAGUUGAGCAAGAACCGAGCACUGGAAGUGGAAGCCUUAAAGGAUUCUCCGAUGACUUACUCCUGUAAUCAUAGGCUGAAUUUGGUGAGAUGUGCAACUCUGGCUCACUGAAGAAGAAUCAACUUCUGGAAGGUAAGAUAUGAAAUUCCUCCAAAAAGGAACAUAAAGGUU